AUUAAAUGGAAAAUGAAUUCAGAAUAAAUAAAGAAUGAAUCCAGAAUAAAGUAAAGUAACAGAUUAUUGUAAUAAAAAUUCAUGGCAGAAUGAAUUCAAAAUAAAAAAAGGUAACAGAUUAUUGUAAUAAAAAUUCAUUGCAGAAUAAAU